rnacentral:rRNA from 1 species
GACGAAGGGGGCUAGCGUUGUUCGGAAUUACUGGGCGUAAAGCGAGUGUAGGUGGUUGUCGUAGUCAGGCGUGAAAGCCUUGAGCUCAACUCAAGAAAUGCGCUUGAUACUGGGCAGCUAGAGGACCGGAGAGGAUAGUGGAAUUCCCAGUGUAGUGGUGAAAUACGUAGAGAUUGGGAAGAACACCAGUGGCGAAGGCGGCUAUCUGGACGGUUUCUGACACUAAGACUCGAAAAGCGUGGGGAGCAAACAGG